rnacentral:rRNA from 1 species
UCUACGGGGCGCAGCAGUGGGGAAUAUUGGACAAUGGGCGAAAGCCUGAUCCAGCCAUGCCGCGUGUGUGAAGAAGGCCUUCGGGUUGUAAAGCACUUUCAGUGGGGAAGAAAGCCUUGGGGCUAAUACCCUCGAGGAAGGACAUCACCCACAGAAGAAGCACCGGCUAACUCCGUGCCAGCAGCCGCGGUAAUACGGAGGGUGCGAGCGUUAAUCGGAAUUACUGGGCGUAAAGCGCGCGUAGGCGGUCUGAUAAGCCGGUUGGGAAAGCCCCGGGCUCAACCUGGGAACGGCAUCCGGAACUGUCAGGCUAGAGUGCAGGAGAGGAAGGUAGAAUUCCCGGUGUAGCGGUGAAAUGCGUAGAGAUCGGGAGGAAUACCAGUGGCGAAGGCGGCCUUCUGGACUGACACUGACGCUGAGGUGCGAAAGCGUGGGUAGCAAACAGGAUUAGAUACCCCAGUAGUC